AGGGUUUGAUCAUGGCUCAGAUUGAACGCUGGCGGCAAGCCUCAUACAUGCAAGUCGAACGAGAAAGCAUCUUCGGAUGUGAGUAAAGUGGCGGACGGGUGAGUAACGCGUGAGAAUCUGCCCUCAGGAGGGGGAUAACGGUUGGAAACGACCGCUAAUACCCCAUAUGCCUACUGGUGAAAUGAAUUUCGCCUGAGGAUGAGCUCGCGUCUGAUUAGCUAGUUGGUGAGGUAAUGGCUCACCAAGGCUUCGAUCAGUAGCUGGUCUGAGAGGAUGAUCAGCCACACUGGGACUGAGACACGGCCCAGACUCCUACGGGAGGCAGCAGUGGGGAAUUUUCCGCAAUGGGCGAAAGCCUGACGGAGCAACGCCGCGUGAGGGACGAAGGCCUCUGGGCUGUAAACCUCUUUUCUCAAGGAAGAAGAUAUGACGGUACUUGAGGAAUAAGCCACGGCUAAUUCCGUGCCAGCAGCCGCGGUAAUACGGGAGUGGCAAGCGUUAUCCGGAAUUAUUGGGCGUAAAGCGUCCGCAGGCGGCUUUUCAAGUCUGCUGUUAAAGCGUGGAGCUUAACUCCAUCAUGGCAGUGGAAACUGAAAGGCUUGAGUAUGGUAGGGGCAGAGGGAAUUCCCGGUGUAGCGGUGAAAUGCGUAGAUAUCGGGAAGAACACCAGUGGCGAAGGCGCUCUGCUGGGCCAUUACUGACGCUCAUGGACGAAAGCCAGGGGAGCGAAAGGGAUUAGAUACCCCUGUAGUCCUGGCCGUAAACGAUGAACACUAGGUGUCGGGGGAAUCGACCCCUUCGGUGUCGUAGCUAACGCGUUAAGUGUUCCGCCUGGGGAGUACGCACGCAAGUGUGAAACUCAAAGGAAUUGACGGGGGCCCGCACAAGCGGUGGAGUAUGUGGUUUAAUUCGAUGCAACGCGAAGAACCUUACCAGGGUUUGACAUCCUGCGAACCUCUUAGAAAUUUGAGGGUGCCUUCGGGAAUGCAGUGACAGGUGGUGCAUGGCUGUCGUCAGCUCGUGUCGUGAGAUGUUGGGUUAAGUCCCGCAACGAGCGCAACCCACGUUUUUAGUUGCCAGCAUUUAGUUGGGCACUCUAGAAAGACCGCCGGUGAUAAACCGGAGGAAGGUGUGGAUGACGUCAAGUCAUCAUGCCCCUUACACCCUGGGCUACACACGUACUACAAUGCUACGGACAAAGGGCAGCAAACUCGCGAGAGCUAGCAAAUCCCAUAAACCGUGGCUCAGUUCAGAUCGUAGGCUGCAACUCGCCUACGUGAAGUAGGAAUCGCUAGUAAUCGCAGGUCAGCAUACUGCGGUGAAUACGUUCCCGGGCCUUGUACACACCGCCCGUCACACCAUGGAAGUUGGCCAUGCCCGAAGUCGUUACUCCAACCCUUGUGGAGGAGGACGCCGAAGGUGGGGCUAAUGACUGGGGUGAAGUCAUAACAAGGUAGCCGUA
rnacentral:rRNA from 1 species